rnacentral:rRNA from 1 species
UACGGAGGGAGCUAGCGUUAUUCGGAAUUACUGGGCGUAAAGCGCGCGUAGGUGGUUCGUUAAGUUGGAUGUGAAAUCCCCGGGCUCAACCUGGGAACUGCAUUCAAAACUGUCGAGCUAGAGUAUGGUAGAGGGUGGUGGAAUUUCCUGUGUAGCGGUGAAAUGCGUAGAUAUAGGAAGGAACACCAGUGGCGAAGGCGACCACCUGGACUGAUACUGACACUGAGGUGCGAAAGCGUGGGGAGCAAACAGG